CAGAAUGCGUCCUUGGACUAAAUUAGCUUAAAGUUGUCAGCAGGAAGUCGUCACUGGAAAUCCUCUUUAGUGUACGUCCAGGUGUCAGCGGGGUCUGCAAAUCCAGCUCAUGCAGCUUUAAAUAAAUCCAGGAAUGUGGCAGUAAGCUUCCAGUGAGGCCAGUAAAAUGUAAAUAAGCCAAAGACCAAUGAAAAAUAACGACGUCACCAGUUUGCAAGUCCGUGGACCACCCAGCUCUCCUCCAGCCACCGAGGGGCGGCGGCGAUACAGCAGCACGCUCACACUCACCACACAUAGCGCAGUGAAGAGUGUGACAGAGAACGCCAGAGAGCCUGGGUCCACGUAGAAGGCUUUGCCCUUGCUGCGCCAGUACACAGCGGCGAUGGUCCAUGCCACACCGAUGCCCAGGAACACGUUCACCGCGUUGCUGCCCGUCACAUUCCCAAUGGAAGCGUCAGCAUACUGGUCCUGAAUGGCAGCUACCUUACUGGCAAAGGUGUCUGUGGAAGACAGGAAAAGAAGGAAGGAAUAUAGUUUGAUCAGACCUUUAAUAAAUGAAUUUAUCUUGCUAACAGGCUACAACAUAUCCAUCCAUUCAACCAUCCAUUUUUCAUACCGCUUAUCAUACACAGGGUCGCUGGGGAGCCUGGAGUGUAUCGCAGGGAACUCGGGGGACAACCUGGACAGGGUGCUGACCCAUCGCAGGGCACAAUCUCACACACUAUGGACAAUUUGGAAAUGCCAAUCAGCCUACAGCACAUGUCUUUAGACUGGAGAAGAAACCGGUACUCAGAGGAAACCCUCGAAGCACAGAGAGAGGUGGCAUUUGGAACCCCAACCCUGUAGACCUGGUACUGAUGUGCCCAGUGCUACAAACACCACGGCGGUAACGGAGUCCUUCAGGCCGAUGGUGCAGCCGAAGUGAGAGGCCAGAUCACCCGUCACUGCUGUUAACAUGCCAAUCAAACAGAUCGAUACG